GAAAAGAAACCAACAGGGAUUGCCCUAGUAACGGCGAGUGAAGCGGCAACAGCUCAAAUUUGAAAUCUGGCCUCGGCCCGAGUUGUAAUUUGCAGAGGAUGCUUCUGGCGCGGUGCCUUCCGAGUUCCCUGGAACGGGACGCCACAGAGGGUGAGAGCCCCGUAUGGUCGGACACCAAGCCUGUGUGAAGCUCCUUCGACGAGUCGAGUAGUUUGGGAAUGCUGCUCUAAAUGGGAGGUAAAUCUCUUCUAAAGCUAAAUACCGGCCAGAGACCGAUAGCGCACAAGUAGAGUGAUCGAAAGAUGAAAAGCACCUUGAAAAGGGGGUUAAAUAGUACGUGAAAUUGUUGAAAGGGAAGCACUUAUGACCAGACUUGGGCCGGGCGGCUCAUCAGGGGUUCUCCCCUGUGCACUCCGCCCGGCACAGGCCAGCAUCGGUUCUCGUGGGGGGAUAAGACCGUCAGGAACGUAGCACCCUCCGGGGUGUGUUAUAGCCUGGCGGACGAUACCCCCGUGGGGACCGAGGUCCGCGCUCCGCAAGGAUGCUGGCGUAAUGGUCAUCAGUGGCCCGUCUUGAAACACGGACCAAGGAGUCGUCCAUUAGAGCGAGCGUUUGGGUGUAAAACCCGCACGCGUAAUGAAAGUGAACGCAGGUGAGAGCUUCGGCGCAUCAUCGACCGAUCCUGAUGUUCUCGGAAGGAUUUGAGUAAGAGUUUUAACGGACGGACCCGAAAGACAGUGAACUAUGCUUGUAUAGGGUGAAGCCAGAGGAAACUCUGGUGGAGGCUCGCAGCGGUUCUGACGUGCAAAUCGAUCGUCAAAUAUGAGCAUGGGGGCGAAAGACUAAUCGAACUGUCUAGUAGCUGGUUACCGCCGAAGUUUCCCUCAGGAUAGCAGUGUUGAUCUUCAGUUUUAUGAGGUAAAGCGAAUGAUUAGGGACUCGGGGGCUAUAUAUUGCCUUCAUCCAUUCUCAAACUUUAAAUAUGUAAGAAGCCCUUGUUACUUAAUUGAACGUGGGCAUUCGAAUGUACCAACACUAGUGGGCCAUUUUUGGUAAGCAGAACUGGCGAUGCGGGAUGAACCGAACGCGGGGUUAAGGCGCCAGAGUGUACGCUCAUCAGACACCACAAAAGGCGUUAGUACAUCUUGACAGCAGGACGGUGGCCAUGGAAGUCGGAAUCCGCUAAGGACUGUGUAACAACUCACCUGCCGAAUGUACUAGCCCUGAAAAUGGAUGGCGCUCAAGCGUACCGCCCAUACCCCGCCCCCAGGGUAGAAA
rnacentral:rRNA from 1 species